UGGCUGACGGAUCCCAUAUCACCA
rnacentral:piRNA from 1 species